CUACGUGCCAGCAGCCGCGGCAAUACGUAGGUGGCAAGCGUUGUCCGGAAUUAUUGGGCGUAAAGCGCGCGCAGGCGGAUCAGUCAGUCUGUCUUAAAAGUUCGGGGCUUAACCCCGUGAUGGGAUGGAAACUGCUGAUCUAGAGUAUCGGAGAGGAAAGUGGAAUUCCUAGUGUAGCGGUGAAAUGCGUAGAUAUUAGGAAGAACACCAGUGGCGAAGGCGACUUUCUGGACGAAAACUGACGCUGAGGCGCGAAAGCCAGGGGAGCGAACGGGAUUAGAUACCCCGGUAGUCCUGGCCGUAAACGAUGGGUACUAGGUGUAGGAGGUAUCGACCCCUUCUGUGCCGGAGUUAACGCAAUAAGUACCCCGCCUGGGGAGUACGACCGCAAGGUUGAAACUCAAAGGAAUUGACGGGGGCCCGCACAAGCGGUGGAGUAUGUGGUUUAAUUCGACGCAACGCGAAGAACCUUACCAGGUCUUGACAU
rnacentral:rRNA from 1 species